rnacentral:rRNA from 1 species
UACGUAGGGGGCAAGCGUUGUUCGGAUUUACUGGGCGUAAAGGGCGCGUAGGCGGCAAUUCAAGUCAUCUGUGAAAUCUCCGGGCUUAACUCGGAACGGUCAGAUGAUACUGCUUUGCUAGAGUGCAGAAGGGGCAAUCGGAAUUCUUGGUGUAGCGGUGAAAUGCGUAGAUAAUCAAGAGGAACACCUGAGGUGAAGACGGGUUGCUGGGCUGACACUGACGCUAAGGCGCGAAAGCCAGGGGAGCGAACGGG